UACGUAGGGGGCGAGCGUUGUCCGGAUUUAUUGGGCGUAAAGAGCUCGUAGGCGGUUUGGUAAGUUGGAUGUGAAAUCUCCAGGCUCAACUUGGAGGGGUCAUUCGAUACUGCCAUGACUAGAGUUCGGUAGGGGAGUGUGGAAUUCCUGGUGGAGCGGUGAAAUGCGUAGAUAUCUGGAGGAAUACCGGUGGCGAAGGCGGCAUCCUGGACCGACAUUGACGCUGAUGAGCGAAAGCUAGGGGAGCAAACGGG
rnacentral:rRNA from 1 species